rnacentral:misc_RNA from 1 species
GCCAUGAACAAGCUACCACAGCAAAUGUCCACAUAUUAAAGGGAAAGAAACUAGUAAAUUCCUUUUUAUUUUAUCAAUAUCAACACUGACACUUGAAGCACAACUGAAGUCGUGACUGAGUAGCUAGCAGUAUUCACAAUCAUGAUAAACUUCAAAUAAUGAUUCCAAUUUGAAUGCUAACCCAAAAAAUAAAUAAAUAAAUAAA